UUAGAGUUUGAUCCUGGCUCAGGAUGAACGCUAGCGGCAGGCCUAACACAUGCAAGUCGAGGGGCAGCAUAAGAAGUAGCAAUACUUUUGGUGGCGACCGGCGGACGGGUGCGUAACGCGUAUGCAACCUACCUUUUACAGGGGGAUAACGGAGAGAAAUUUCCACUAAUACCCCAUAAUAUCCGGGAUGGCAUCAUCCUUGGGUUGAAAACUCCGGUGGUAAAAGAUGGGCAUGCGUUGUAUUAGAUAGUUGGUGAGGUAACGGCUCACCAAGUCGACGAUACAUAGGGGGACUGAGAGGUUAACCCCCCACACUGGUACUGAGACACGGACCAGACUCCUACGGGAGGCAGCAGUGAGGAAUAUUGGUCAAUGGGGGCAACCCUGAACCAGCCAUGCCGCGUGCAGGAAGACGGCUCUAUGAGUUGUAAACUGCUUUUGUAGAUGGAUAAUUGCGGGUACGCGUACCCGUUUGCAGGUAAUCUACGAAUAAGGAUCGGCUAACUCCGUGCCAGCAGCCGCGGUAAUACGGAGGAUCCAAGCGUUAUCCGGAUUUAUUGGGUUUAAAGGGUGCGUAGGCGGUUCGGUAAGUUAGAGGUGAAAACCCGUGGCUCAACCACGGACGUGCCUCUGAUACUGCCGGGCUAGAGAGUAGAUGCGGUAGGCGGAAUGUGUGGUGUAGCGGUGAAAUGCUUAGAGAUCACACAGAACACCGAUUGCGAAGGCAGCUUACCAAUCUAUAUCUGACGUUGAGGCACGAAAGCGUGGGUAGCAAACAGGAUUAGAUACCCUGGUAGUCCACGCAGUAAACGAUGAUAGCUCGUUGUCGGCGAUACACAGUCGGUGACUUAGCGAAAGCGUUAAGCUAUCCACCUGGGGAGUACGUUCGCAAGAAUGAAACUCAAAGGAAUUGACGG
rnacentral:rRNA from 1 species